UCUAGAGGAAGUUUUAAUUAAAUGUCAACUCCCCGAAAAGCACUCCAGGAAACUCGAAGUGUUGGAAACAAUACCUAUCUAUCUAUCAUCUAUCAUUUAUCAAGGUAGAUAGAUAGAUUGCACAAGGACGUGGAGAUGUGCCACCCAGCUCAGCCAGGUUCGCUGACCCUGAGAGGGAGCGGGGAAGGAUGGAGAAAAGACAGAUAAGAGAAGAAGUCUGGGUGGGACGCUGUCCUCUCUGAUGGAGAGCUAACGACAGCAUCAGGGACUACAAGCCGUGUCUUUAUUUCAUAGCCAGAUUCCAGGAAGGAAAGUAAGGGCGUGGUCAAGAUGUUUACAAGAUUCUGGUGAGUUUCGAUUCUACUCAGUUAUAUGCACCUGAACUCUAUCAAGCCCAAAUCACUCAGCCACGUGGGACCACGUGUUGGGACCAUAGGUUCAAGCUCACAACCAUAGCUGUUGGCUAUAACUGUGCUGGGAGGGCCCUGCCCUCCAGGCUGGGACCUGCACUGGCCAUGACAGGACUGUGCCCUCUCCUCAGUCCAGGCUUGAACCUGUCCAGACGCUGUCGCCGCUCUCCACAGAGAUUGUCUUGCGUUAUCCUGGGAUCCUGGAGGCUCUGACCACUUGACUAUUAGGCAGCCCAGGCAGUCCAGUGCCCUGUAUUUCUGAGAGCCGUGGAGGGGUUUUAUUGUCGUUCUUUACAUCGUUCAGAUUAAGCAGAUGGGUCUUGUCAAACAAACAAACAAAAAAACAGUCGCAGUUAAGAAUAGAAAUGUAUUGCUUUUUAUCUGAACCCUGCUGUUUCUGUUUACUCACAGAUUUGAAUCGGGUCUUCAUUGAAGGCCCCAAAUAAUGCAAGAUGCCUUGUUUUCUGUCGACUCAGGUAGACUCUGAAGGCACCGGUGGGUUUUCUUCAGCCUGGGAAGUGAUCUGCAGGCAGAGAAGACAGGCGGCUAGAAACCAGAAGUGAGGCAAGGCAGUGGUGCAGAAUACGGAGGGUACUCCCUCAGGAACCUAGAGCAAGCCCUUGUUUAUACUGAGAGGGCAAAGCAACAACUUCAAACUCUGAUGGAAAAUGAGUAGCAAAGAGUUCUGAAGAAUUCCUCAAGACGCCUCCUGAGAAAAUUCAGCAGCUGCAACUGCCUUCAGUUGCUUUGUUCUGCUUGAGAACACGGAGGCUGUGUCUUCACUAGCGAACUGCAGCCCAGGUAAAUCCAGAACUUGCCUGGGGAGAGAGCAGGAAUCUUACAUAGAGUGUCCUAUCAGACUGCAGCUGACGAAGUUCCUUCUCUUCUCUCAACGUCAAGUUCUCAAGCUGAGCCGAAGAUUCAGAGAAAAGGCCCCUCAUCUGGUCCUUCAGUGGCUGGUGCUGGCAUGGAAAACCCUGCUGCACCUGUUUGCAGUUCUUCCAGGUAGCGUUCAGUGACUCGAGAGGAUCUCUCUCCUCACUCAGGGCCGAACAGCAGUAGAAACAUUUCAAGAUUUUAUCAACGUGAUUUUUCCAAAACCCAAGAAUCUUGUUACUUUGGAGUCAAAACAUUUCUCCCAGGCCUCAGAUACCUGUUCAACUAGAUCAUGUGAUGAAGUGUUUGCUAAAUAGUUUCUGCUGAUCUUCUUUAUCUUCCAAAAAAUCCGGCUUACUGUUUUCUCAAAAGUGUGCAAGUCACCUGUCAGUUCCAACACCAGGUUCAGAGCUCUUCCUUUGCUAAGCCCCCAGAUUUCCCUGUGCCCUUUUCCAGGUUUCCACAGGUUUCAGAGCAUCCUCAAGUGAAGUGGCCUUCGUUUAAGUGCAGUGUGCCAGUUUGUAAACCGCUCAGAACUUUGCGUUUCAUCCCCAUGAGGUUUUUCCUUUAGGCCUCUCUGAAGAAAGUGUGUUGUGACCUUGUCAGGCUUUCUUUCCAGGGGAGGUGAGACUUCUUAUGGAGCCGUCCAUGGCCAGGACACCUCAGCACAGACUGUGAACACAGUUCCUUCAAGACAGAACUUUUGGUCCCAGAAGGGAAAAUACUAAAGGUAUCAUGCUCUUUGCUUGUUCCAGGGGGAUCUUUACCGCAGGCGAGUAAAGAUUUAUCACCAUUUACAAAUCUUA